CUGUUGGAUAGAGGCGCGAUUUGUUAAAAGUAAUCGAGAUAGGAGGCAUCCGUUAUGCUCGAUGAAAGGAGCAGUCGCCGAAACCUUGAACUUUGCGAAUUCAAGGAUUGGGCCAUGGAAAUAAGAUUCCAAUGGACUCUUUGCUUUCAAAGCAUUGGAGCUAUCGAUGUU
rnacentral:ncRNA from 2 species